GUCAUCUAACUCCUCUGGGCCGUCUGGCGAGCGUCCCUCACCGCCGUGGGGCUCACCUAGACUGGCGCUGGGCUCAGCUGGCGAGUGCCAGAGCUGACCCGGGAGCAUCCACUCCCAUCCCCACCGCCCCCUACAGCUGUCCCCUCCCCCGCCGGCCUCCGGGUUUGGAUUGCUCCCGGAGUUGGAAGUUAGGGCGCCCUGGGGCUAGCCUUUCUCCCAGCGCGCGGAUCUCUGCCGCUAAUCUCCUGGGGAGGCUGUGCUCUCAGCUUAAGCUCUCAGAAAAAAUAAGAGACAAGGUCUGACUCUGUGCAGUGGAGUGCAGUGGCUCAAUCAUAGCUCACUCCAGCCUCAGACUCCUGGGCCGAAGUGAUCCUCCCACCUCAAGCUCCUGAAUAGCUGGGACUACAGGCAACAAGCUCUGCCAAUUUUUUCUUCGAAGAGUUUUGUUCCAAGCUGGGAGCCGUGGCUCAUGCCUGUCAUCCCAGCACUUUGGGAGGCCAAGCUGGGCAUGGUGGCAUGUGCCUGUGGUUCCAGUUACUUGGGAAGCUGAAGUGGGAGGAUCGCUUGAGCCCAGGAGGUCAAGGCUACAGUGAGCUGUGAUGGUGUCAUUGCAUUCCAGCACUCCAGCCCGGGCAUCAGAGUUAGACCUUGUCUUAAAAAAUAAAUAAAUGAAUAAAUAUAAAUAAAAAAUAAAAA